AAGUCGUAACAAGGUCUCCGUAGGUGAACCUGCGGAGGGAUCAUUAACGAAUGGCCUCUGGGCCUUCAACCUUGCAAACCCGUGGAAGCAACCUGUGCUUUGGCGCUCUGGCGUCGCCUUUAUGCUACGAUCGGUUAUUUGUGUCUGAAUCAAGUAUAAAAAACAAAA
rnacentral:misc_RNA from 1 species